GGCUCAGAUUGAACGCUGGCGGCAGGCUUAACACAUGCAAGUCGAGCGGGGGAAGGUAGCUUGCUACUGGACCUAGCGGCGGACGGGUGAGUAAUGCUUAGGAAUCUGCCUAUUAGUGGGGGACAACAUCUCGAAAGGGAUGCUAAUACCGCAUACGUCCUACGGGAGAAAGCAGGGGACCUUCGGGCCUUGCGCUAAUAGAUGAGCCUAAGUCGGAUUAGCUAGUUGGUGGGGUAAAGGCCUACCAAGGCGACGAUCUGUAGCGGGUCUGAGAGGAUGAUCCGCCACACUGGGACUGAGACACGGCCCAGACUCCUACGGGAGGCAGCAGUGGGGAAUAUUGGACAAUGGGCGGAAGCCUGAUCCAGCCAUGCCGCGUGUGUGAAGAAGGCCUUUUGGUUGUAAAGCACUUUAAGCGAGGAGGAGGCUACUAAGAUUAAUACUCUUGGAUAGUGGACGUUACUCGCAGAAUAAGCACCGGCUAACUCUGUGCCAGCAGCCGCGGUAAUACAGAGGGUGCGAGCGUUAAUCGGAUUUACUGGGCGUAAAGCGUGCGUAGGCGGCUUUUUAAGUCGGAUGUGAAAUCCCCGAGCUUAACUUGGGAAUUGCAUUCGAUACUGGGAAGCUAGAGUAUGGGAGAGGAUGGUAGAAUUCCAGGUGUAGCGGUGAAAUGCGUAGAGAUCUGGAGGAAUACCGAUGGCGAAGGCAGCCAUCUGGCCUAAUACUGACGCUGAGGUACGAAAGCAUGGGGAGCAAACAGGAUUAGAUACCCUGGUAGUCCAUGCCGUAAACGAUGUCUACUAGCCGUUGGGGCCUUUGAGGCUUUAGUGGCGCAGCUAACGCGAUAAGUAGACCGCCUGGGGAGUACGGUCGCAAGACUAAAACUCAAAUGAAUUGACGG
rnacentral:rRNA from 1 species